AGAUCAAAAGGAGCGUAUCUUCUCCUUUGUUGACCUGAAGGAUCAAGCUCUUCAAUCACAGGGUGCUUUUGGAUUCCAGCUUUGAGAGAGAAGAUGAACAAGGUCAACUCCAUUUCAGGUUGUGGAAGGAAGACUCUGGAAGAUCCGACAUAAGCUGGCAGUCCCCAUUAUAACCAUGUCCCAACUUUGCCACUGUAGAGUCUUUGGGACAUUUCUUUUUGGGAUAGAUCCGGGACCUUCUCUAUUGGUACAGAUGAGUUAUGUUGCUGCCAAUGACAGAACACCUUUAUUCAUUUUCUGGAACUGCCCUGUGUCAUCCAACUCCACUGCUGGUAAAAACAUGCUGUUCAAAUGGCCAAACUGAGUCAAUCUCCUUAACAACUUUCUUUACAUAAAAUAAAAUCUUGUGGUC